rnacentral:rRNA from 1 species
AGUGAACGCUGGCGGUAGGCCUAACACAUGCAAGUCGAACGGCAGCACAGUAAGAGCUUGCUCUUACGGGUGGCGAGUGGCGGACGGGUGAGGAAUACAUCGGAAUCUACUUUUUCGUGGGGGAUAACGUAGGGAAACUUACGCUAAUACCGCAUACGACCUACGGGUGAAAGCAGGGGAUCUUCGGACCUUGCGCGAUUGAAUGAGCCGAUGUCGGAUUAGCUAGUUGGCGGGGUAAAGGCCCACCAAGGCGACGAUCCGUAGCUGGUCUGAGAGGAUGAUCAGCCACACUGGAAAUGAGAAACGGUCCAGACUCCUACGGGAGGCAGCAGUGGGGAAUAUUGGACAAAGGGCGCAAGCCUGAUCCAGCCAUACCGCGUGGGUGAAGAAGGCCUUCGGGUUGUAAAGCCCUUUUGUUGGGAAAGAAAAGCAGCAGGUUAAUACCCCGCUGUUCUGACGGUACCCAAAGAAUAAGCACCGGCUAACUUCGUG